GAUGAAGAACGUAGCGAAAUGCGAUAAGUAAUGUGAAUUGCAGAAUUCCGUGAAUCAUCGAAUCUUUGAACGCACAUUGCGCCCCCUGGCAUUCCGGGGGGCAUGCCUGUCCGAGCGUCAUUUCUGCCCUCCAGCCCGGCUGGGUGUUGGGCGCUGUCCCCCCGGGGACACGCCCCAAAGGCAGUGGCGGCGCCGCGUCGGGUCCUCGAGCGUAUGGGGCUUUGUCACCCGCUCGGGACGGACUCGUCGGCGCUGGUCCUCCUCCAGGCGACCCUUCGGGGCUCGUCUUCCUUCGGUUGACCUCGGAUCAGGUAGGGUUACCCGCUGAACUUAAGCAUAUCAAUAAGCGGAGGA
rnacentral:misc_RNA from 1 species